UGACAAUUCAGCUGAGAUGACAGCAAGGGGUUAUUGGCAACACAGGGGACCCCGAAGGAGGUAUCUACGUUCAUUCGAAAAUAAAGAAUCCCAGGUCCUGGACUCUGCAGAGAAGAAUAUGUCAGAAAACACAGUGUGAAAGUGCAAUUACGAUGAUUGAAUUGCCUGAGGACAGUCCCUGUAUGAACUGGAUACAUUCCACUGUUGCUAAACACUGUGUAGUCUGUUCAUGUUUUAAAGUGUUUGUUUUGCCG
rnacentral:lncRNA from 11 species